rnacentral:rRNA from 1 species
UACGGGGGGGGCAAGCGUUGUUCGGAAUUACUGGGCGUAAAGGGCGCGUAGGCGGCCUGCUAAGUCACACGUGAAAUCCCUCGGCUCAACCUGGGAAUUGCAGUGGAUACUGGCAAGCUAGAGUACGGUAGAGGAUGGUGGAAUUCCCGGUGUAGCGGUGAAAUGCGUAGAGAUCGGGAGGAACACCCGUGGCGAAGGCGGCCAUCUGGACCAGUACUGACGCUGAGGCACGAAAGCGUGGGGAGCAAACAGG